rnacentral:rRNA from 1 species
GACAGAGGAGCCAAGCGUUGUCCGGAUUGACUGGGCGUAAAGCGCACGCAGGCGGUUGCGCGCGUGGGGUGUGAAAGCUGGUGGCUUAACUGCCAGAUGCCAUCCCAUACGGCGCGACUCGAGCCCGUGAGAGGUCCACGGAAUUGCCGGUGUAGCGGUGAAAUGCGUAGAGAUCAGGAAGAACACCGGUGGCGAAAGCGCUCUGCUAGGCCGUAACUGACACUGAGGGACGAAAGCUAGGGGAGCGAAUGGG